UCUCUAGUGACUGGAGUUCAGACGUGUGCUCUUCCGAUCUUUCAUAGUGGCGGACGGGUGAGUAACGCGUGAGCAACCUACCUGCUAAGGAGGGAUAACACAGGGAAACUUGUGCUAAUACCGCAUGAUGUAUACGGAUCGCAUGUUCUGUAUACCAAAGGGAAACCGAUAGCAGAUGGGCUCGCGUUGGAUUAGAUAGUUGGCAGGGUAACGGCCUACCAAGUCUGCGAUCCAUAGCCGAACUGAGAGGUUGAACGGCCACAUUGGAACUGAGAAACGGUCCAGACUCCUACGGGAGGCAGCAGUGGGGAAUAUUGGGCAAUGGGCGAAAGCCUGACCCAGCGACGCCGCGUGAGGGAAGAAGGUCUUCGGAUUGUAAACCUUUGUCAACAGGGACGAAGAAAGUGACGGUACCUGUGGAGGAAGCCACGGCUAACUACGUGCCAGCAGCCGCGGUAAUACGUAGGUGGCGAGCGUUAUCCGGAAUUACUGGGUGUAAAGGGUGUGUAGGCGGGGUGUCAAGUCAGAUGUGAAAACUGUGGGCUCAACCCACAAACUGCAUUUGAAACUGAUACUCUUGAGAGUGGGAGAGGUAAACGGAAUUCCUGGUGUAGUAGUGAAAUGCGUAGAUAUCAGGAGGAACACCGGUGGCGAAGGCGGUUUACUGGACCACAACUGACGCUGAGACACGAAAGCGUGGGGAGCAAACAGGAUUAGAUACCCUGGUAGUCCACGCUGUAAACGAUGAAUACUAGGUGUGGGGGGACUGACCCCUUCCGUGCCGCAGUUAACACAAUAAGUAUUCCACCUGGGGAGUACGACCGCAAGGUUGAAACUCAAAGGAAUUGACGGGGGCCCGCACAAGCAGUGGAGUAUGUGGUUUAAUUCGACGCAACGCGAAGAACCUUACCGGAGCUUGACAUCCUCGGAAGACCGAUGUAAAGUUGGUUGUGCCCCUUCGGGGGAACCGAGAGACAGGUGGUGCAUGGUUGUCGUCAGCUCGUGUCGUGAGAUGUUGGGUUAAGU
rnacentral:rRNA from 1 species